AGCGAACGCUGGCGGCAUGCUUAACACAUGCAAGUCGCACGGCCGGGCAACCGGCAGUGGCGGACGGGUGAGUAACGCGUAGGGAUCUGUCCACGGGUGGGGGAUAACGCCGGGAAACUGGUGCUAAUACCGCAUGACACCUUCGGGUCAAAGGUCGCAAGACCGCCGGUGGAGGAGCCUGCGUCCGAUUAGCUAGUUGGUGGGGUAACGGCCUACCAAGGCGACGAUCGGUAGCUGGUCUGAGAGGAUGAUCAGCCACACUGGGACUGA
rnacentral:rRNA from 1 species